rnacentral:rRNA from 1 species
GCAAGUCUGGUGCCAGCAGCCGCGGUAAUUCCAGCUCCAAUAGCGUAUAUUAAAGUCGUUGCAGUUAAAAAGCUCGUAGUUGAACCUUGGGCUUGGCUGGCCGGUCCGCCUUUUUGGCGAGUACUGGAUCCAACCGAGCCUUUCCUUCUGGCUAACCAUUUGCCCCUGUGGUGGAUGGCGAACCAGGAUUUUUACUUUGAGAAAAUUAGAGUGUUCAAAGCAGGCCUUUGCUCGAAUAUAUUAGCAUGGAAUAAUAGAAUAGGACGUUAUGGUUCUAUUUUGUUGGUUUCUAGGACCAUCGUAAUGAUUAAUAGGAACGGUCGGGGGCAUCAGUAUUCAGUUGUCAGAGGUGAAAUUCUUGGAUUAACUGAAGACUAACUACUGCGAAAGCAUUUGCCAAA